GUAGGUGGCAAGCGUUGUCCGGAAUUAUUGGGCGUAAAGCGCGCGCAGGCGGUUCUUUAAGUCUGAUGUGAAAGCCCACGGCUCAACCGUGGAGGGUCAUUGGAAACUGGAGAACUUGAGUACAGAAGAGGAAAGCGGAAUUUCACGUGUAGCGGUGAAAUGCGUAGAGAUGUGGAGGAACACCAGUGGCGAAGGCGGCUUUCUGGUCUGUAACUGACGCUGAGGCGCGAAAGCGUGGGGAGCAAACAGGGAUUAGAUACCCUGGUAGUCCACGCCGUAAACGAUGAGUGCUAAGUGUUAGGGGGUUUCCGCCCCCUUAGUGCUGCAGCUAACGCAUUAAGCACUCCGCCUGGGGAGUACGGCCGCAAGGCUG
rnacentral:rRNA from 1 species